rnacentral:misc_RNA from 1 species
UCCACCGGGGUCCCGUGGGCCUGCACAUGUGUGCACGUACAUAAUUUUUUCUUUUUGGUAUCCGUGCGCGUGUACGUGUGGGUGCCCGUGUCUCGGGCCGCCGCGGAGUUGCCUCGUUCGCUCAAUUGCAUGUGCAGGUAUGGGCGUAUCUUUGUGUCUCUGCCUCGCUACACUGUUUGACUCCCGCUUGUCGUGCGAUCUUGUCUGCCACCUUCCUGUCUCUCGCGUGAAGCCUUCCUCACAUCUUUCGCCGUCGGCGGCGUGCACAGGGAGGGGGUGACAUCAGCGUAUGCGGCAGAGACCGUGAGAGACUCAGGCGCAUACACUUGCACGGAACCGCGGCAUCUUGGCCUCCAAAGUGGAGGACACAAAUCUUUUUGAUCCGCCGCUCCCUCACUCUCUUGCGGAGGACCUGCAGGCAGAGAGACGCGCUCACGACUCCUCUCGCGCCCCGGGCACCUUCCCUCUUCCUAAUUGCUCUCCUCCGCUCCCCUCCCCGUUCUUCGAGAUGGCCGCGGGCACGCGGCGAGGCCUUGUGCUGCUCGGGACGCACAGCUUCGUUGUGCAGUCGCUGCACGUCGUCUUCUCGGCGCUCUUCAUGGAGUACUACGUACAUGGUUUUCUGCUUAUCGUGGAUACGCGCAAAGGGCAAAAGACAAGUCUCACCGACAUUCGUGAAUGGCGCUUGCGCAUCUCCAAGCUGGGCCUGUGUGUUCUCGUUGCCGCCCAGCUGGUGUACAUGGUUGGCAGUGUCCUUGAUCGAGCUGGCCUCGUUGCGUUCUCGUCUGUAGUCGCGCGGGUGUGGCGACUGACACCACGGCAGCGUUCGGCGUCGAAUGAGCAUCGUUUUGCAUUAGCGUUUGGCCUGUCGUGGUGGGUGCUGCGACUUCCACUCGUUCCGUCGGCUGUGUCCUUCACGCUUGCGACCGCAGUCGUCGGUGUCUUGUCCGAUCACUGCACCGCCUUCGCUCAGAAGUUAGCCCGCGAAAUGGCGACCCAGCGACCGAAGGAGGAGAGGUUGGUGCAGCGUGCGUCACGUGCGGCAUCGGGUGGCGCUGCUGUGGUGGUGCUUGUCGCCGCCCUGCUGUACGAUGGCUCCUCUCCAAAAAGGAAGUUCCUUCGCGGGUUCCACUGGUGCCUUGCUCUCUUGAGCGGCGCAGCCGUGUGCGCCUUUAGUGGCCUGCAACGGUGGAGGUGCAACUCUCAUGACGAGGAAGCACCGAACGCGACACGAGAAGAGUGCAGCCUCAGCUCGCGCUCUGUCUCCGGGUUUGGCGACGCGACAAUGAUGGAGUUCCAAGGCUUUGUGCGGCAGACGUGGCAGCGGCGGUCAAUGAAGGCGCUCCUGGUCGUACGUGCGCUGCACUGCUACGCGCAUGCAGUGGUAGUUGGCUUCUUUCAUCUGCUUCUCACGUUGGGCUGUGCGCCCCGCCUGUCGGCGGCAGCGCGGGCGACCAUCCUGGCCUUUGUCGUCGCAGCGCCGUCCUUCCUUGCCCCCAUGCAUAUCGCAAGCGCCGGCGCGGUGGGAAAGAAACGCCUCGUGCUCGUCAUGCUGCUCGGCGUGUGUGCGCUGGGUCUUGUAUCGCUGGUAGCAGCCUUCUUCACGAGGGGAGCGGUCGGCGUGGCGGUUGCGCCGGCGCUUGGAGAGGGCAGCACAGCAGCCAGUUCGAGUGCCGGGAUUUGGCUGUGUGCUAUUCUGCUCACGCUGCUGCGUCUGCUGCUCGACAGCGUGCGUGACGUGCUUGAGCUAGCGCAGGAGGAUGUGGUUGAGGAGGAUGCUAUUCUUUUCGGCCGCGCCACGCCGAUGGCGUCUUGGACAAGGCGACUCUGCUCCUUGGUUGCGGCGCCGAUGGAGUCACUCAGCCGCAUCGCAACCGUCUUGCUGCUCGCCUUCACGCAUGCAUUUGAGGGUGUCGUGCUGGCCCCACCCGCCAUCAUUGGCAACAGCACCAUCACCCAGGCUGCUUCGGCGGUGCAGAGGGCCGCAGCUGCGCUGGCCUUGGAGCGGGGGUCGUUUUCGAGUGCUUUCCCUGCCGCUGUGGCGACUGCGAACGUGACCUCCACAGUACUUGCGUUGUUGAGCCUGCACACGUGUGGGGUGGCGCUUAUGAUGCUGGUUGUCUGGCACCGGUACUACAACCUGGAAGGGAAGCACCUUCUGUUCGUUCAAAUGGCCACCCGCAAGCGCAAGGACGAGCAGUGCGUGGCUCUCGUAUGAGGCGGCCGUUCUCACCGCAUCGCGAGCAGCGGCGCUGCUUUCUGUUGUAUUUUUUUCUUUCUCUCUCGACGGUUUACCCUGGCUGCAGCCAACGAGUGUGUGGGAGUUUUUACAGUGUGCACAAUGUAAAACGGAAGCUGCGUGAGCCCGUCAGUGGGCGAAGAGUCAGCACAACAGCUGACAGGAACGCGUGCGCCUUAGUUCCGCUCUCUUCGUUCCUCUAUGUGUGUACU